CUCAAGGAAGCACUUUGCCUACAUGGACAGAAAUAGCGCCCUCAAGGAACCGUUUUCUGUCCACGUAGGCAAAGCGCUUCCUUGAGG
rfam:Gossypium arboreum cultivar AKA8401 contig_57993_5, whole genome shotgun sequence.